rnacentral:misc_RNA from 1 species
ACCCAACACUGGCACUGCCGUACACUCACCAACAACUACACGCGUGAUGCAGUCCGAGGGACGAAACAACGUCGGUUGACUGCUCAUGGUGUAUGGAGAAAGUAAGGAUACACAACUUAAGGUGAUCCAAACUACAACGGAAGCAACUUUAACCUGGCCCAAGCCUUAUAUUACUACCUACUACGAAUAAACAUGACGGGGAGCAGAAUAGGUUCGCAAACUCCCCAUGGUUCGACCUAUGAAACCAUAAAACUAACGAAGCAACACAACGGAUAGUAAUAAUAGCAACUCACGAGGUUUUUAAAAUGCCCACAACACGUACGGUUUCUCAGAACCCUUCGGAAAGGAAGCACGAAUAAUAAAUAUAGACAGCCAAAACGGUGGUARACAGAAUUAUUUGGGGACGUGCACAGCACCGCACGGAACUCCUCCUAAUGUUUUGCAAUAACACAUCCACAAAUUUUCCUGCACGAUGGACCAACUAGGACGGUCAUCAG